CCAAUGAAUUUGUAGAUGUUUAAGUUUUGGUUGUUAAGUCUGUUGGUGAACAAAUGCCACCACCUGGUUAAUAUGAAAAAGGAAUGUUUUGUUCCUUCAGUCUCAAGCUUCUCAGUUGCUGAGUGUAGCUGCUCUGUUUAGGUAAGGCUGAAAGAGCUCAGUGCUGCAGCAUUUAAAAUUGACCAAAGGCUCCUUCCCAGGGCAGGAUGUUGCCAGAGCUGUUACUCUGUAAUUUAGAACUGGAUCCUGGAAUGAAUAUUCUGGGGUGAAGCAUUCCCAGAGGACAGCUGGAUGCUGUAGUCACAAAGCUCUUACUGGUGACCUGCUGGAAGUCAAAGCUGCCACACAGCAACUGGCCAGUGCUAGAGACUGCUGUUACUUCAAAUCCCAGAGCAGGGUGCCUGCCUGCACCUUUCUCCUGGUGAAAAGCAGGACACCCUUUCCCUCAAAGCAGGGAGGCCCCAAAUCCUCAUUAAAUGCAGCACACAGAGACUUAAAGGCAGCAGGGUUCUUAGAGGAAAUGUGUCAUGGCUAGUCAGUGCAGUUGCAUGAUUACAUGAGAUUUUAUGUAUCAAUAAGCAUUGAAGUGUGGUGAUCUUACCAGCUGCAUGUUCUUUCUAGUUCUGUUUCCUCCAGUGCACAGCAAGGAGUUGUCAUUAGGUGUCCAAUUUGCAUGGAAUUUUACUCCGAGAUUCUACAACAUGGACAACAGCUUGUGGUGACCCUGUGUGGCCAUGUCUUCUGCAGUAGAUGCCUCCCUAUUGCCCUGGAGACUACUCACAGGUGCCCAACCUGCAGGGUGGAACUUACUCCAGAUCUGUAUAUUCCCAUUUAUAUAUGAGUGCUUCUGCUUCUCAGGACACACUCAGAUGGAUCUUGGACAAUAGUCUUUAUGUAUAUAGUUCUUCCUGUUUCUUUAUGUAUAUAGUUCUUCCUGCACAUAGUUUCAUUUUUUGCUGAAUUCAAUUUAAAUAAAGUUUUGAAUAGUUGAAA